rnacentral:rRNA from 1 species
AAUCAACGCUGGCGGCGUGCCUAACACAUGCAAGUCGAGCGAGAAAGUGGGGGCAACUCCAUGAGUACAGCGGCGACCGGGUGAGUAACACGUGACUAACCUACCCUUGAGUGGGGAAUAACUCCGGGAAACCGGAGCUAAUACCGCAUAACACCGUAAGGUCAAAGGAGCAAUUCGCUUAAGGAGGGGGUCGCGGUUGAUUAGCUAGUUGGUGGGGUAAUGGCCCACCAAGGCGAUGAUCAAUAGCCGGCCUGAGAGGGCGCACGGCCACACUGGAACUGAAACACGGUCCAGACUCCUACGGGAGGCAGCAGUGGGGAAUUUUGCACAAUGGGGAAACCCUGACGCAGCAACGCCGCGUGAAGGAUGAAGGUUCUUUGGAAUUGUAAACUUCUUUCGUUCGGGACGAUAAUGACGGUA